rnacentral:tRNA from 1 species
CGGAGGUACCCAAGGGGACCAAGGCCGUGGAUUUGGGAAUCCCCC